AAAAAUAGUUAAUAAAAUAAGGAAUGAACAAAGUAGGGUAAUUUAGGAGUAGCUCCUGUUAAACAUGGAGAUAGGAGAAAAGAGAACAAGGGAGAAGAAGACAUGUAAGAAUUCACGUGGUUCAGCAGUAUGCCUACAUCCAACGAAGAGGUGGAGAUCUGUUUUCCAUAUAUGAUUCUCAUAUACAUCCUCAACUCUGUCUUUGGGUUCUGGUUAUGACCCAACCCAAUACAUCUCAACACUCCCCCUCAUGUGAAGCUUCGGCAGGUGGAUAGGAAACUUUGGGAGGAUAACAAAGGCUCCUGGGCUCUAAUGCCAUUUGGGAAGGUCAAUCCCAAAACCUUUAGGCAUUAGGUGGAGAAGGCUUCUCAAGUAUAUGAAGGCACCAAGGACAUGGACAAACCGAUGUGGGAUAUAUAGCUCUAUAACUCCCAGCAUCUCAAUAGCUAUGAUACAUGAUAAGUUGAGGGAAUGUUGUUUGAGGUGGCACGAACAUGUACAAUGGAGGCCUUUGAGUGCUCUAGUAAAGACAUUGAUAUGAUUCAGACUAGAGGAGCUACAAGAGUGGUAAGCCUAAAAUGAGCCUAGGAGAAGUGGUGAGAGAAGACAUGCAUACCUUAGGACAAGCAAGUUUGUCUUUGAUUAGAUCUGAUUGGAGAGGUGGGGAACACCGAAGAUAUGACAGAUGGAAUGUAUGAGUAAUGCAGGAGCAUCCUAGAGAAGGAUUCCUAUGUUUGAAAACUUAGAGCUUUGUUUUGCGUGACUUUGAACUCUGGAUUGUUUAAAAGCUUAUUGAGCUAAGUUUUCAACUAGACCUAGAUCUUGCAAUGACAAGCUAAAUUUGGGACAUUAUGAUUUUUUACUUUAUAAUAGUCUGUUAAUCUGUGAUGGGAUUUCUAAUUUCAAAAGUCUAAUUAGAUUAGGAGCUUGUUUUGGGUUUACUAGUCCUUUUUUUUUCUUUUUGUAAUUUUGUUUUUAUAGGAAGGGGUUAGACACUUGUGGGAGUUGCUAAAAUUGUACUUUGAGUGAAACCAGGACUUCUUUUGAGAUUCAAAAACGAUUUUGAUUGGCAUAUUUUGGGUGGAAUGGUUUGGUUUUUGUUUAUGGUUAAGGAAUGGUUCUUUUGCAAGUGGUUUAAUGAUCACACCCUAGCCUUUUUUCAUGGUGAGCAAGCCCAUCUCUCUCUCUGUCUCUCUCUUAUUUUGUUCAUAGCUCUUUUUGGGCAUAUUACCAGCAGCUUUUUAAAUCUACCUGCAUCUCUGUGCAAAUCUAUAGCAUUUUCUUGGGCCUUCUGCAAAAAUUUCCAUUCUAUUUCAGCUGCAUUGUCACAAAAGAUCUUUUUUUGUUUUCCAACACCCUUUGGGGAAAAAAAGGGGGUGAGGGUGGGGGGGUGGUAGUUGAACGGAAAAGGUAAUAUUGGUUUAGCUGAUGAAUUGCUGGGUGACCAUAAAUUGCUCAUUUUCCUGAUCUGAUUGUUGUCCAUGGAUUUCUGGAAUGCUGGUUUAUCGGUCAACCUGAUUUUGCAGGUUUGAGUACCAUGCUGCUGCUGAGCUUGUCAAAGAAGUCCAAUUUGAGGAAGUUGAAGGAGGUGUUAAAACAAGGAUUUUGAGGAAGUGAAACAGCUCUCUUAUACUUGCCAUUUUAGUCAUGGGGGGAAUGGUACAGGAGAUUGGCUUUGAUUUUCAUUCUUUUGUAGAGGUAAUUGAUUCUUUGUGGCUUGUUCCCAGCGCAACGGUAAUGUCUAUUAUUUUCCCCCUAGUGUGUAAAAUUCUCUGACCGUGAAUUCGUAGAGUGCUUCGACAUCUGACAGCCAAGUCUUAGAUGGUGAUGUUAUUUGGGUGGUUUCAGUUAGACGUGAUCUGCUGAGAUUGGCUGUGGUUAAGUUCCAUGAGGCCUAAUUAAUCACUCCAGAUCAUGGGUCACUUGGACACUUGUAUUGCUAUUGUUGUUUUGUGCGAUUUGUUGAUAUGGCUCUAGUUACUGUUAA